GCCAUAGCUCACUGACAGAGCUUUUGUCCUGCAUGCAGAAGGUCCCAGGUUCAAUUUCUGGUAUCUUCA